rnacentral:ncRNA from 2 species
AAGUUUGCGGCAGAAACAGGUUCCGGAUUCGAAGCUUCGAGUCUUGGAUUAAUAGGGAAUCCGGUGCGAUACCGGAGCUGUCCCCGCAACUGUAAGUCUGAUUUUGUUCAACAAAAAAACCGAACAGAAAAAGCUUUUGCUUCCCACGCCAUUGAGCAAUCCUGAUCCGAUCAGGAACGUUUGAGAAGGCUGGCAAAAGUCAGAUGAGCCAGGAGACCUGCCUGAUUCUAUUGAUUCAG